rnacentral:sRNA from 1 species
UCUAAAACUGAAGGAGAAGCCCAAGAAGAGAUGGUGGAUUCUCACUGAGUUUUGACUAGAGGAAGAAAAGAGGAAAUAGAUGAAAAGUGAAGUCGGUGCCUGCAGUCUCUGGGGUCUCUGCGCCUGGUGUUCCAAGGAGGAUUUUGAUCUGGUCCCUCAUCAGACUCUGUUGUUGCUCUUAGGGUUGGAU